rnacentral:rRNA from 1 species
AUUGAACGCUGGCGGCAUGCUUUACACAUGCAAGUCGAACGGUAACAGCACUUCGGUGGCUGACGAGUGGCGAACGGGUGAGUAAUACAUCGGAACGUGCCUAGUAGUGGGGGAUAACUACUCGAAAGAGUAGCUAAUACCGCAUGAGAUCUAAGGAUGAAAGCAGGGGACCUUCGGGCCUUGCGCUACUAGAGCGGCUGAUGGCAGAUUAGGUAGUUGGUGGGAUAAAAGCUUACCAAGCCGACGAUCUGUAGCUGGUCUGAGAGGACGACCAGCCACACUAGGACUGAGACACGGCCCAGACUCCUACGGGAGGCAGCAGUGGGGAAUUUUGGAGAAUGGGCGCAAGACUGAUCCAGCAAUGACGCGUGCAGGAUGAAGGACGUCGGGUUGUAAACUGCUUUUGUACGGAACGAAAAGCCCUCUGCUAAUACAGGAGGGUCAUGACGGUACCGUAAGAAUAAGCACCGGCUAACUACGUG